rnacentral:rRNA from 2 species
ACAACUUUCAGCAACGGAUCUCUUGGCUCUCGCAUCGAUGAAGAACGCAGCGAAAUGCGAUAAGUAAUGUGAAUUGCAGAAUUCAGUGAAUCAUCGAAUCUUUGAACGCACCUUGCG